UACGAGGGGGGCAAAUGUUGUUCGGAAUCACUGGGCGUAAAGGGCUCGUAGGCGGCCAACUAAGUCGGAUGUGAAAUCCCCAGGCUCAACCUGGGAACUGCAUCCGAUACUGGAUGGCUUGAAUUCGGGAGAGGGAUGCAGAAUUCCAGGUGUAGCGGUGAAAUGCGUAGAGUAUCUGGAGGAAUACCGGUGGCGAAGGCGGCAUCCUGGACCGACGAUUGACGCUGAUGAGCGAAAAGCUAGGGGAGCAAACGGG
rnacentral:rRNA from 1 species